rnacentral:rRNA from 1 species
GGGUUGUAAAGCGCUGUCGAGGGGGAGGAAAGCCGCAAGGUCUGACCUAUCCCUGGAGGAAGCACGGGCUAAGUUCGUGCCAGCAGCCGCGGUAAGACGAACCGUGCAAACGUUGUUCGGAAUCACUGGGCUUAAAGGGCGCGUAGGCGGCUUGCCAAGUCAGGGGUGAAAUCUUUCGGCUUAACCGGAAAAGUGCCUUUGAUACUGGCAGGCUUGAGGGAGGUAGGGGCAUGUGGAACUUCCGGUGGAGCGGUGAAAUGCGUUGAUAUCGGAAGGAACGCCGGUGGCGAAAGCGACGUGCUGGACCUUUUCUGACGCUGAGGCGCGAAAGCCAGGGGAGCGAACGGGAUAGAUACCCCGGUAGUCCUGGCCCUAAACGAUGGGUACUAGGUAGUGACUUGACAUGGGUUCACUGCCGAAGCAAAAGUGUUAAGUACCCCGCCUGGGGAGUAUGGUCGCAAGGCUGAAACUC